GGCUCCUGUGCUUUACCACUAGCAUAACUAUCUAAGCAUGAGAGGGUACGGCUUGAAGUGGUGAUGCCGUCUAUCGUCACUGUUCAAGGAAUGGACUGAAAUAGUGAACGCAGAUCCAAAAUGAUGUGCCACGCUGGAGCUGAGAUAAAAUCUAAUUAUAUGAACGUGAAGACUGAAGAGUCAUGUGACUGAACUGACUGAAGCUAAUCAAAAGUGCCACAAUCCAGGUGGCUGGGUCAUGCUACAAUUCCUUUACUUUGUCUACAGGAACAUCUGGAACAUUCUACAAUCACCCCCUUCGGGCACCUGACAAGCCUAUGAUGCAGCCUUCUAGCAGCGGAACAAGUCAAAGUGGCAGGAAUUAUGCCCUCAUCUGAAACACCCAAUUAUAAAACAGAAGAUGUAGACAUUUUCAAAGUAGUUUCUGAAAGCAUUUUUUAUAAUUUAUUUUAAAGCACAUGUGGCCUUUGGUUAAAAAAAAAAAAAGAGAAAAAGAAAAAAAAAAAAACCCACUCAUUGUGUUCAUGAUAGUCCACGGCCAUGGCCACCCCCAUUUCACACUCACAAUCAACCCACCCUCCCGUCCAAGUCCACGAUACCUGUACCUGUCUAAAGUCUCGUCUAGGGCAGCACACAAAGGCUAGAACCAGGCCUGAGCAUGGAGCAUAUGACCCCCACAGUCUAGGCCUGCACUUAAUGCUGCUGUCCGCUUUCAUUAGGAUUUGACUCGCUGCAGAUUCUUAUGGUAUGCGAUACUAUUAUGCUGCUGAUGAUACUGGUGAGUUGAAACUGACUGCAAUAUAUGACUAUAAUUGGUGUGUUCUUCGUCUGUGAGCUGUUUGUUGAGUAGUAGUAAGUGUACAUGCGAGCAGUGUAUUGAUUAUGUGUUCAUGUUUGGUAGCAUUAGGUAGUCGCUCCUCUGUUCUGGUUCAAAAGACUGCCGUAGCCCUGGAGGCCACAUAGUCUUCAUUUGGCCCUAUGCAAGUGCAUAUACUAAAUUAGUAUUGAUUUAAUAUGAGAACGCGUAUUGAAUUCUCGGAUAAUAACCAUUUACUGGAAUUCAUUCUUUUGAGAGCAGGGAGUGCACGUGCACUAAACUCAAGCAU